GAAAUGCGAUAAUUAAUGUGAAUUGCAGAAUUCAGUGAAUCAUCGAGUCUUUGAACGCACAUUGCGCCCCCUGGUAUUCCGGGGGGCAUGCCUGUCCAAGCGUCAUUGCUGCCCUCAAGCACGGCUUGUGUGUUGGGCUUCCGUCCCUGGCAACGGGGACGGGCCCAAAAGGCAGUGGCGGCACCAUGUCUGGUCCUCGAGCGUAUGGGGCUUUGUCACCCGCUCCCGUAGGUCCAGCUGGCAGCUAGCCUCGCAACCAAUCUUUUUAACCAGGUUGACCUCGGAUCAGGUAGAGAUACCCGCUGAACUUAAGC
rnacentral:misc_RNA from 1 species